GAGGGGUGACCGGCCACAUUGGGACUGAGACACGGCCCAGACUCCUACGGGAGGCAGCAG
rnacentral:rRNA from 1 species